UUAUUUCACGUUUGGUAGUUUUAUCCGAGUUGAAAACUGACAGAUUUGAGUUGACUUUUGAGGCACUUUUUACUCAGUUGUUCUAUGGAAACGGUUCAGGACAAAUAAAACGCUAACCAAACGUUAUUCUGUCCAGAGUAACGUUAUCCAUGUAAGUAAUUUACCAGAUGAUGUCAAUUGACUACAUUAAUAAAGACAUUGCGUAUGAAACAAACUGUCUGCUUAAUCAGAUGAACAGACCCGCGUCAGUUAUUCGUGACUUCACUACGCCACGAGCAACACUUGAUUCUAUUAGAAAAAGCUUUUUUUAAAUGCCUCGCGUGACGUCUGGUAUAUUAACUGAAAAAAUUGCUUUGAAGUGCCACACCUUAAAGCUGACGUUUUCAGAAGAGCACCUUGUUUUAAGAUCUCAUUUUGUCCAAAAUUACGUCCUAUGACAGAUAUAAUACUUAUUUCAUUAUUGCUCUGUGUAUGUGUGACCUUAAUCAUUUGAGGUUGUGUGUUGAUUUCACCUCUGAAUAUUUCCUCUUAUAGGUCCAUCAUCCUUGCAUGCGCUACACACUCAAAAGCAUUGAUAAAUGCUGAAUUUAAAAGAAUCACUACUGUCUUAUGUUCCUGCGUGUCACCUGGACCUCCAAUCCAAAAACCUGACGAAACUCUUCUAUCAGAAAGGAGGACAGCUAGCAAACAGACUUCAAACAAUGAAUGAUCAAAUGACAGAAGGCAUGAAUGAAGUCAGCAUCAGUGUGGUCAUUUGAAGACACCAAUGUUGGGAUUUGUGCUCUCAAACAACAUGCUUCUUGUGAUGAAGAAGAGGAUCUUUGUAUAGUCCUGGAAGCCAUGAAGGUGUUGCAACAUCGUGCCAUGUUGUUUGCGCUGAUGUAUGCCUUAAACCUGAGCUAUCCUGAUCUCUGCUUUAUUUUUGAAGAAAUCCAAAAGAUUUUAAUGGAACUGCAUUGAGCGUAACUUUAACGAACAGUUUCUUUCAGUGAAAGGAUCAGAAAGACUGUGCUGCUCAUUUAUG